rnacentral:rRNA from 1 species
GACGAACGCUGGCGGCGUGCCUAAUACAUGCAAGUCGAACGAGCGGCGGACGGGUGAGUAAUGUAUGGGGACUGCCCGAUAGAGGGGGAUAACUACUGGAAACGGUGGCUAAUACCGCAUACUAUCGGAUAACCCAUAUGGGAUUAGCUAGUAGGUGGGGUAAAGCAGCACCUAGGCGACGAUCUCUAUCUGGUAUGAGAGGAUGAUCAGCCACACGGGGACUGAGACACGGCCCAGACGCCUACGGAGGCAGCAGUGGGGAAUAUUGCACAAUGGGCGAAAGCCUGAUGCAGCCAUGCCGCGUGUAUGAAGAAGGCCUUAGGGUUGGAAAUUACUUUCAGCGGGGAGGCGUUACCCGCAGAAGAAGCACCGGCUAACUCCGUGCCAGCAGCCGCGGUAAUUC